rnacentral:misc_RNA from 1 species
UUUGGAAUUCACACCGCCCGUCGAUUAUGGAAUUCACACCGCCCGUCGUUAUGUGAAGAUGACGCAGUCGGAUCGAAGAUUGAGAGGUCUGAAGUCUUUCGUGUUAGAUAAGAUAUAAGUCGUAACAUGGCUGCUGUUGGAGAACCAGCAGCAGGAUCAGUAUGUUGAUUUGAUUAUUUUGUGGGGAUUUUUAGUUUUUUAGUUUUUCUUUCUCUAUCCAUGGGAUUGAUUGGCAUUAUCUGCGAUGAAGGACGUGCUGGAAGACGAUAUGCCGUUUUUUUUAGCGGAUGUCUGAAUUAGGUGUUUGUGCGCCUGUGGACCCCUUAACUUAAGCAUAAGCUUGGA